GACGAACGCUGGCGGCGUGCUUAACACAUGCAAGUCGAACGGAAAGGCCCUUCUUUUGUGGUACGCUCGAGUGGCGAACGUGUGUGAAACACGAGUGUAACCUGCCUUUGACUUUGGUAAAAUUUCGGGAAACUGGGGAAUAUACCGGAUAGGAUCCCCUGCUGCAUGGUGGGGUGGGGAAAUUUGGGGGGGUUGGGUGUGGUCUCGGGGCUUCUCCGUGUGUUGGUGGGGUAGUGGUUUACCAAGGCUUUCACGGGUGGCGGGCCUGAGGGGGGGACCGGCAACAUUGGGACUGGGAACCGCCCAAGCGUCCUACGGGAGGCAGAAGUGGGGAAUAUUGCCCAAUGGUGGGAGGCUGGAUGCAGAAACGCCGCGUGCGGGAGAAAGGCUUUCGGGUGGUAAACCGCUUUGGCCUGUAACGAGGCGUGUGUGACGGUAAUGGGUAAAGAAGCACCGGCUAACUACGUG
rnacentral:rRNA from 1 species